GCCCACAUAGCUCAGUUGGUAGAGCGCAUCCUUGGUAAGGAUGAGGUCACCGGUUCAAAUCCGGUUGUGGGCU
rfam:Pelobacter sp. SFB93, complete genome.